rnacentral:rRNA from 1 species
UACGAAGGGGGCUAGCGUUGCUCGGAAUCACUGGGCGUAAAGCGCACGAGGCGGACUCUUAAGUCGGUGGUGAAAUCCUGGAGCUCAACUCCAGAACUGCCUCCGAUACUGGGAGUCUUGAGUCCGGGAGAGGUGAGUGGAACUGCGAGUGUAGAGGUGAAAUUCGUAGAUAUUCGCAAGAACACCAGUGGCGAAGGCGGCUCACUGGCCCGGUACUGACGCUGAGGUGCGAAAGCGUGGGGAGCAAACAGG